GACGAACGCUGGCGGCGUGCUUAACACAUGCAAGUCGAACGGAAAGGCCCUGCUUUUGUGGGGUGCUCGAGUGGCGAACGGGUGAGUAACACGUGAGUAACCUGCCCUUGACUUUGGGAUAACUUCAGGAAACUGGGGCUAAUACCGGAUAGGAGCUCCUGCUGCAUGUUGGGGGUUGGAAAGUUUCGGCGGUUGGGGAUGGACUCGCGGCUUAUCCGCUUGUUGGUGGGGUAGUGGCUUACCAAGGCUUUGACGGGUAGCCGGCCUGAGAGGGUGACCGGCCACAUUGGGACUGAGAUACGGCCCAGACGCCUACGGGAGGCAGCAGUGGGGAAUAUUGCACAAUGGGCGGAAGCCUGAUGCAGAAACGCCGCGUGCGGGAUGACGGCCUUCGGGGUGUAAACCGCUUUCGACUGUGACGAAGCGUGAGUGACGGUAAUGGGUAAAGAAGCACCGGCUAACUACGUG
rnacentral:rRNA from 1 species